rnacentral:lncRNA from 1 species
AAGAUUUCAUAGCUAUGCCCCUCUCAACGCAUCGAAAACUCAAGUGCUGAUGGAGGUCAGGGAGUAGCUCCCAAGGUCGGAGAGGAUGCGCUCGUACCCUGGGAAGCGCAACCUGAAUAAAUUUUGCCUCUAUCAUCGUGACCACGGUCACGAUAUGGAGGAGUGUACUCAGCUCCAAGAUGAGAUCGAGGAGCUCAUCAGAUG